CAAAAUCCAGCGGAAGAUGAUGG
rnacentral:siRNA from 1 species